GGAAAGUUNGUCAAACUUGGUCAUUUAGAGGAAGUAAAAGUNGUAACAAGGUU
rnacentral:rRNA from 1 species